ACAUCCAGAGAAUUUAGCAGAGAUGCUUUAGUGCCUUCGGGAACUCUGAGACAGGUGCUGCAUGGCUGUCGUCAGCUCGUGUUGUGAAAUGUUGGGUUAAGUCCCGCAACGAGCGCAACCCUUAUCCUUUGUUGCCAGCACGUAAUGGUGGGAACUCAAAGGAGACUGCCGGUGAUAAACCGGAGGAAGGUGGGGAUGACGUCAAGUCAUCAUGGCCCUUACGAGUAGGGCUACACACGUGCUACAAUGGCGCAUACAAAGAGAAGCGACCUCGCGAGAGCAAGCGGACCUCAUAAAGUGCGUCGUAGUCCGGAUUGGAGUCUGCAACUCGACUCCAUGAAGUCGGAAUCGCUAGUAAUCGUAAAUCAGAAUGUUACGGUGAAUACGUUCCCGGGCCUCGUACACACCGCCCGUCACACCAUGGGAGUGGGUUGCAAAAGAAGUAGAUAGCUUAACCUUCGGGAGGGCGUUUACCACUUUGUGAUUCAUGACUGGGGUGAAGUCGUAACAAGGUAGGCGUAGUGCU
rnacentral:rRNA from 1 species